UACGUAGGGUGCGAGCGUUAAUCGGAAUUACUGGGCGUAAAGCGUGCGCAGGCGGUUCGCUGUGUCCUGUGUGAAAGCCCCGGGCUCAACCUGGGAAUGGCCGUUGAAACUGGCGAACUGGAGUGUGGCAGAGGGGGGUGGAAUUCCGCGUGUAGCAGUGAAAUGCGUAGAGAUGCGGAGGAACACCGAUGGCGAAGGCAGCCCCCUGGGCUAACACUGACGCUCAGGCACGAAAGCGUGGGGAGCAAACAGG
rnacentral:rRNA from 1 species